rnacentral:rRNA from 1 species
GGGGGGGGCAAGCGUUGUUCGGAAUUACUGGGCGUAAAGGGCGCGUAGGCGGCCUUCUAAGUCGGACGUGAAAUCCCUCGGCUCAACCGAGGAACUGCGUCUGAUACUGGAAGGCUUGAAUUCGGGAGAGGGAUGCGGAAUUCCAGGUGUAGCGGUGAAAUGCGUAGAUAUCUGGAGGAACACCGGUGGCGAAGGCGGCAUCCUGGACCGAUAUUGACGCUGAGGCGCGAAAGCCAGGGGAGCAAACGGGAUUAGAUACCCCGGUAGUCCUGGCCCUAAACGAUGGAUGCUUGGUGUGGCGGGUAUCGAUCCCUGCCGUGCCGGAGCUAACGCGUUAAGCAUCCCGCCUGGGGAGUACGGUCGCAAGGCUG